CUAUUUUGCUUUUGAAUGCAUAAAAGAAACAGCCAAAUAACACUUUUCAAUAAUUUAUUUUUAAAAGUUAUUUUAUUCCUAAACAGUAGAGUUCACAUCUUUUUCUGCUAAGUUCUUCCACAAGCUGGCAAAGGAUCCAAGAUGUAGCCUGGCAUUUAUCUUUGUUCUCUUUGCCACUCUCAUGGAAAUAUGGUGAAUGCAGUCCGUUCUUAACGGUCGUAUUUAGCCUCGGUUCUGUGAAUUCGAUUUUCUUUUCCUUUUUAAAGGCGAUAGAGUGGGAUCCAAUAGACGUUGGAGCUGACUCUGAGCUUUUUUGACUUGUACGUGUCACAUCUGAAGGCAAGUUCCCUCGUGCUGGAUGAAAGCUAAAAGGCUGGGUGCCCGGUUUACCAUCAGCUCAGGGCAGAAUAAUGAUGCGAGGCCUGACAUUUAAUACACCAGUGAUCCCAGAUAUUGCUGCUGAAAGCUUUCUCCACAAAGCAGGAACCAGAAGAACCUUACGGCAGUGUCUGACUUUAAUUCACAAGUGAGGGAGCCGUGAGGUGAGGGUCAACUAUCACGUGUCUCUUCAACACAAGGGAAAGAACUGCCCAGCAAAGAGAACCCUAUGUAUGUCAUAAAUAUGAGCUCACAGAGUGCGUGGACCCUUUCAACGCAAUGUCAGAGGCUGCCUCUGCAGAAUUGUUUUAGAUAGGUUUUUAACCCUGUGGGACCCUGCCUCAUGGGAACAGUGUCUAUGCUGCAGUCUCUAAGCAAAGAAUAGACUGGGAUGCCUUUUUUGGUUUCGACAACCACUAAGGGACAUUACUAAGGCUCUGCUUCAAACCAAUACCGUGAUUGUUAAAGUUUCAAAUGUGUAUUUCAUAAGCAAUUGUUGCUAAGGAUUUUUUGUUGAAAAGAUAAAAAGUAUUAUUUGUUAAGUAUCAUCCUUAUCAUGACAUCAAUAUACUGAAUAUGGCUUCCACUUUUUCCAGGGCAUUGAGAAGGCCUGAGCUUCUCAAGGUCAUGGCCACCCCAUUCCCUUCCAGUGUUCUAACACUGCUAGGACUAUAGGCUGUGCACAGAGAGUAUUUGCUAAAUAGACAAGAGGCUCCUAUUUCAACUUAGUUCAUUUUUUUUGUUAUAAGAAGUGGGCACUGGUGAGAAAUCAUGGAGCACAACUAAAAAGAAAAAAGAAAGCUUUGAAAAUUUCAGCUCUGCAGAGACUGUGGGAGGAGAGGAAAUCCUACCUGUAAAAUAAAAACUUGUCUUAAAAAAUAAAUAUAAGGAGAAACUAAAACCUAAAGUGGAGAAAUGAGAUACUGGGCUUGAUUUCAUAUGCCAUCCUUGCCCGCAAUGAACUGGUUAUCUUAAUGGAACACAAUAAGUUAAUUUAUCAUGCUGAUAUUCAAAAAACAAACACGAUGAUUAGCUCAGGUUCCCUUAAAAUAAUUUCCUUUUAAUUACACAUAAGCAGAUACUUAUUAUGCUGAAUUAAUUAAUCUUAGAAUAAAUUAAUCUUAAUGUAUACUGAUACGGAGCAUUAUUCCAUGUCUGAAAAUUGGCCAGAAUUUUUUCUUGGUUAUGAGAGAGAGCCUGCCGUAAUCUAAGUCUAUGUGGGAUUCUUUGACGUACAAAGAAGUUAUCAACUUGUAGAGCUGGGAAGAAUCUUGGAAAUCUCAUGCUCCAACUGGUUCAGUUUAUCCAAGAAGGAACUGGAGCCCAGCGUGGUGAGAGGACGAGCACCAAAACAAACAGGUGACCGGAGCGUGAGCGUCAGAAGCUCCAGCUGCUGCCCUAGUCAUUGAUGCAGGUUCUGUCCCAGUGAAGGGGGGAACAUAAGCUCCCUUCACUGGGACAGAACUACAUCAAUUACCCCUUCAGUAUUUCAUCUGGAGUUUUUCUCCCUUUCCAAAACUUUUAAAACACAGUAUUAGAGAAUUUCCAAAUAAUAAUAAUAAUAAUAGUCAUAGAAUGCCCUCAAAUUCACAGAAGCAUUACAUAUUAUAUGCAAAAUUAUGAUAUAGAAGAUAUUUCAUCUUUUGAGAGAGAUGUAUAAGAAAAGAAAAAUGUAAAACAGAUUUUGUCAAAUUUGCUCAAAUCAAUUUUUUUUGAGGUUUUGUUUUGUUUUGCUUUUGAGAUGGAGUCUCACUCUGUUGCCCAGGCUGGAGUGCAGUGGCUCGCCCAUGGCUCACUGCAACCUCUGCUUCCCAGGUUCAAGCGAUUCUCGUGCCUCAGCCUCCCGAGUACCUG
rnacentral:lncRNA from 1 species